AAACAACAGACCAAAUCUACCGGUCAAUUCAGCUUUACAUAGUUAUUACAAAUCUUCAACAUAUCCAUCGAUAUAACAUCUAUUCAGAGGGAGAGAGAGGGGCAUUAAAAAUGUUCUUAAUCAAAAACAAAAACAAGGAAAGACAUUGAACAUCAAUGUUCAGAAAAGUGUAGCAUGUGUGUUUGAGUUUUUGCAACUGUUUCCAGUUCAUAUCGGUAAGCUUCAUUCUUCGGCCAUUUUGUUCAUUAUUUUGGUUAUUGACGUAUAUAAUUGCGUGUGUUAGAUGUGUAUAUGCAUCGCUAUGUAUGUAUUCUAUGUCUUUAAUUAUCAGUUACAGUGUUCUAAUUCGUUGGAAUAUUGUUUCUUUUGAUUGUUUUAGUCACAAGUUACACACUUUCUUGACGAUUUUUCCUUUAACCUUAGUACAACGAUAGAUCUUAUCAAGUAUCCACCAUCCAGAUUAUUAAUGAGAUAUCCAACUAUAAAUUAAAAUUUCUUAAAAGACAUCUUCUGAGUUAUAUUCCAUAAGACGAUCAUUUUAUUUUAUUUGUCUAUAUAUGGUUGUGCCAAAGAAUUUCAGUUAUACAUUUAUUUAAUUUUGCUGCUGUGAUGUGAACCGAAGGGUCAAAGAGACUGUUCGGUCCGAGCAGAAUACGCGCAUGCAAAGAAAUUCGUUUAAAGUCAACGUAUGUAAACGUCUUUCAAUCUAACGGCUCUUAUUUGAAACGAUUAAUUCUCGGCAUUAUUAAACCUAUAUUAUAGUCUUAAGACUUUUAAUAUAGGUUUUUAAUUAAGCACACUGAUUGUUUGGCCCCAUCAUUGCUGUAAUUAACAACGUUAGUUUCUUGGAGUUUUUGUGUAGCAUAAAUGUGGAGCUUAAUGUGAAACACCCAUGGUGUUAUUUUCGUUUAACGGGAGAACGCACAUGCCAAUCACUAGCGAUUAUGAUGAAGUAAGUAAACACAAUACUGUGUCAAACGGUGGAUCUGUACGCAUGCAUAUACAUUAGGCAUGGGUAGUCAAGUCCAGUCGGUUCUUUUGAGUAUCGAAUUUUCCAGAUCUUGAAAUUAUGUCCAUCUGGGUAUUACAAAAUUUUGGAUAGUAUCCUCCUGGAUCUGGAUAAGUUUGAUUCUGAUGUAUAAAAACUUAAAUAUAAUUGAAUAGCCAAUGUAUCUAAACCCAAACUAACCAUAUUACCGAUAGAAUUCGAGUAGUUUGUAUUCAAACUAUCCAAAUGUAUCUAAAACUUAUUAAAAAUACUCAUUAAACAUGGGG
rnacentral:lncRNA from 1 species